GUCUCGGUAGCUCAGUUGGAUAGAGCAUUCGUUUCCUAAACGAUGUGCCGUGGGUUCGAGUCCCGCUCGGGGCA
rnacentral:tRNA from 3 species